UUCUCCACAAUAUAACCUACACACAACCUCACAUUUCCAUUAACAGAGCACGCAAAAACGCACACACACCACUGCCAUAUACAAGUCAUCACUAUCAUAUACUAUACCUUACUGAUUCACACACAUGGACGCAUACAGAACACACUAGUGAGAGGGAGAGAUGGAAAGAUAAGGGAGGUAACAAGAAGAGUGAGAGAUAGAGAGAAACAGA
rnacentral:lncRNA from 1 species